rnacentral:lncRNA from 1 species
CUUGUCUUCUGGUCACACCUCACUAUGUCCCCUCAGCUCCUCUGUAUGGCCUGGUUUUUCCUAGGCUAUGAUUAUAGAGCGAGGAUUAUCAUAAUAUUGGAAUAAAAAGUAAUUGCUGCAAACUCAUGAUUAAUGAUAUUCAUAUAUAAUCAUAUCUAAGAUCUAUAUCUGGUAUAACUAUUCUUGUUUUAUAUUUUAUUAUACUGGAACAGCUCGUGUCCUCUGUCUCUUGCCUCGGUGCCUGGGUGGCUUGCCGCCCACACCCUCUUACUACUGGGAGCUCACCUUGCCAGCUCUAGACUCAGCUUGGACUGGCUGUCAGGGCAACGUUGCGUACAGGAAUACAUCACACUAUGCACCAGACCAGCCACAUAAGGAGGAACUCCCCAAAAGGAGAGAGAAAAUCGAAAGCCACUUCUCUCCCACUUAUGAGGCAGGUACCUAACGCCUCUGCAGCUCAGCUUCUGCACCUGUAAAAUGGGAACAACACGUACCUCGCAAUGAGGUGUGAAAGUACCUAGGGAAGCGCCUGUCUUGAGUAGUCAGAUCAAGAAAUGGUACUCACUGCCUCUGGCCCACUUACCAUCAGACUGGGCCAGGCCACUGUCUGCCUUCACGCUCGCACUGCUCCCCCUGUUGGCUGUCCACGCGGGCACACAAGGGAAAGUUCACUG